CCCGGGAGGAGGAUGCCCGGGACCGCUCCCCCGCUCCUGCCAGCCGGUGGCCUCAGCGUUUCCCGAACUUGAGACUCACCUAAGGCGCUCACUUUCCCAGGCUGCUCCCAGUCAAGGUGCAUUCCGUGGGCCCCGGGAUCUGUUCACCACGCCCCGUGCCAACGAGUAAGCCGAGCCCAUUACAUAGGAUUCUCCUGCAAGUCAGCCCUGCAAGGAAGGGGUGAUGAUCCCCAUUUUCUGAUGCAGUGUCCUGAUCUUUCCCCGGUACCUGUUGUUGGAAGUGGAGCCAUUAGGGAAAGCGGUGAACUUAUUAUGAAAAUGAGAUAAUUGAGCAUCUAGGGAAGGGAAGCGACCAUGGUGCCUGAGGCCAACUUUCAGGAGGCCGGUGGUGCUAGUCUUUUGGUGCCUGGCCCAUUCUCUGGAGAUUGGACCUGCAGGACUACGGAGGAAACAGCAAACAGCGGUGGCAGUGGUGGG